rnacentral:pre_miRNA from 1 species
AAAACAUACGAACCGUCGGUCUACCGAGCAAUAUCGCCAGCUCGGUAGAAGACCUUCCUUUCGCAU